rnacentral:lncRNA from 1 species
AUUAAAAUUUUUAAUUUAAAUUUAAAGUUUGAAUUUAAAUUGAAUUUAAUUUUUGAUUGUAAACUUAAAUUUUUUAUUUUUAUUUUGAUAUUUGAAUUUGCAUUCAAAAUUUAUAUUUUAAUUUUAAAUUUAAAUAUGUAAUUUUAAUUUUAAUUUUAAUUUAGAAAAUUAGAACAACUAGUUUUGAACUAUUACGUUGAUUUAUUAUU